AAAAAUAAAAAAUCAAUAAAAACAACCAAAAAACAAACCCUAAUUCCAAACCUAUUUUCUCCAUGAUUUUCUCUGUUUUAUGAACACUCUCGACCCGUUUCUUCCCCGGUACCAAGUCCGCAUAGCACGCGAAAUAAAACGAAUUCCAUUCCAAGUCCAAAAUUAUCCAUCGGCUCAUCUGCAUCCCACAUCCAUUCGAUUGAUGAGUUAAAUUCUUUCCCACUCGAUGUCCACGUUAUUUCGCCAUUCAUAAAUUGACCAGAGGUUCCAAUCCAACAGCCAUGCAGGUAUCAAACGCAUCUAGGAAGCGCAUGGGAGUGGGAACUGAAGUGUACAGAUAUUUCGAAUUCGGAGACGUUUUCAUGAAAAACGGUGCAGGAGGAGGACAAUUGGGUGGACUCGAUGUUGAAAUUGUUAUUUGGAGGAAAAUGUAAAGAAAUUUUA